rnacentral:rRNA from 1 species
GAUGAACGCUGGCGGCGUGCCUAAUACAUGCAAGUCGAACGAACAGACGAGGAGCUUGCUCCUUUGACGUUAGCGGCGGACGGGUGAGUAACACGUGGGUAACCUACCUAUAAGACUGGGAUCACUUCGGGAAACCGGAGCUAACACCGGAUAAUAUUUCGAACCGCAUGGUUCGAUAGUGAAAGUUGGCUCUUCUGUCACUUAUAGAUGGACCUGCGCCGUAUUAGCUAGUUGGUAAGGUAACGGGUUUCCAAGGCAACGAUACGUAGCCGAGCUGAGAGAGGGGUCGGCCGCACGGGAGCUGAGCCAGGGACCAGAGUCCUACGAGAGGGACCAGUAGGGUAUGUUCGGCAGUAGGCGAGAGCAUGACGGAGCAACGGCGAGUGAGUGACGAAGAUCUUGGGAUCGUGAUGCUCUGUUACUAGGGAUGAACCACCUUGGAAUUAGAUGUGCACGUAUUGACGGUACCUGAUCAGAAAGCCACGGCUAACUACGUG